rnacentral:lncRNA from 1 species
UUUGGUUUAGGAUUUGGUUAGGAUUUGGUUUAGGUUUUAGGAUUUGUAUUAGGGUUUGAUUUCGGAUUUAGGAUUUGGAUUAGGGUUUGGUUAGGAUUUGAUUUAAGAUUUAGGAUUUGGUUAAGAUUUGGUUUAGGAUUUAGGGUUUAGUUUAGGAUUUGAUUAGGGUUUUAUUUAAGAUUUAGGAUUUGGAUUAGGAUUUGGUUAGGAUUUGAUUUAGGGUUAGGAUUUGGUUUAGAAUUAUGUUAAGAUUUGGUUUAGGAUUUGGUUGGGAUUUGGUUUAAGGUUUGUUUAGGGUUUGAUUUAGGAUUUAGGAUUUUAUUAGGAUUUAAGAUUCAAUUAGUUUUGGCCUAAAGUUUGAAUGAAGAUUAAUAGGAUUUUAAUUAGAAUUAAAUUAAGAUUGAAUUGAGAUGUAUUUGAAUGAUAUUUAUAAUUCUUUUAAUAUUUCUUUAAGAAUUUCUAUUGUUUGUUUGAAAUUUCUUUGAUUUUUUUUUUUAAUUUGGUUAAGCUUGCUUAGUAUUAUUAUGGUCUAAUUAGAACAUUGUUAGUAUUCUAUUAGAAUUAGGAUUUUGUUAUUAUGAUUUCUAUUCUUCUUUCUACAGUUAGGUACUCGGAGCAUUCUCAAGCAAGACUUCACAUAUUAUGACAUAUUUGGUGAACCCGACAUGAAACACUUGAGGUGAGAGGAAUUUGGUUUUCUUGGAUUAUUUGAAUUUUAGAGAAGAAAGAUAAGAAAGUUGGAAGAAAUGCUUUGGGUGAUAUGUGAAUUCGAACUUUUGGAUUCUUGGAGCUUUGAAGAUUAUUUUAAAAUACAAUGACAAUAUUUGGAAUAUCAUAGAGUAUUAUAAGGCUUUAUAGAUAUGUUAGAGCAUUUUAAAGUAACAUAAGGUAUUUAUUGGAGCAUUUCAAAGAAUAUUUUUUAUCAUUGUAGAAUAAAAUAGAAGAUGUGUCAUCAAGGUUUUUGGAUAUGUCCAAUAUCAUAGAUGGAUCAAAUAUUAGUGAGUUUUUUAAGGCUUUUUAUAUAUUCAUGGAGGAGCAACAAAGAAUGCAAGCAAUUGAAAAAGUAUCACAAGGGCAUUGCAAGGAGUCAUCAACAAAUUUGGAAGGUUUGAAGGAUGCAACAUCACUAAGUUUUUACAAGUUUAUACAUGAGAGAUAGACACAUGCCAAAUCCCUGAGGCAAAGAUGAUUUCAAGCUUACAUUUGACUAUUGAACCUAGAUUUCAGAUAAAGGUGAAGGGAUUGCUUGAAGGGGGUAUAGAAACAUGGUCAAAAUUUCAAGAACUUUUGAAGAAAGAAUUUAUUGAUGGAUAUAAAGAUAGGAUUACCAAGCGAAAGUUUUUGAAUUGGAUAGAAUUUCAAUCAGGCAAGCAUAUGAAUCUUUAUGAAUUCUUGAAAGAAUUUCAUAAGAGAUUUUAUCAACUCUCAUCCUUAGAGAGACGAUCAUUGGGUGCUUUAAAGGUAGAUUUGUUUUUAAAUGGUCUUGAUCAUGCCUUGAGAGAUGAGGUUUUCAUGCUUCUUGAAGAUGAGUCUACGAAGAGUGAUUAUAUUAAUAAUUGAGAGAAGUUGAAGGAAUUAGUGGUUGUUUUAGCAAAUGAACAAGAAGCAAAAGCUAAAGAAGUUUUAAUAUGGUCUAAGAAAUCUUCUACUUUGGCUUCUAUGUCAUCUUUAUCAAUACAAGGGACUAAUCUUAAAAAAAGAGAAAUGAAAGAGCAAGUAGGGAAUUUUAAUAGAGAAGCCAAUUCUUUAGAGUUGAAAGAAAUUGGAUCUUAUACGAAGGGUGGUGAAGGAGAGAAGAAAGAUUCUUUUCAAACUAUUACUAUGGAAGGCUAAGGUAUUCAAAAAUUUGAAGGUAAUGCAAAGAUUAAAGAUUUGGAAACUAAUGACAAUGCGGUUGGAAGCUAUGGCUAUUCUAUAUUGAAUAAGUUUGUACAAGUUGGUGAUGGUAAUUUGGAUGAAAAAUCUCUUGGUGUUAAAAAGUUAUUUUCUAUAGUUGAAGGAGGUGAGGAUGUUUUGCCUAAUACUUUGGAUUAUGUUGAAGAAUUUAAGGUUGAACCUUUACAAAAAAUAGAUUAUGGAUCCAUUGAAGGUUAUAAUCAUGAAGAUUGUAUGAAUUCACAAUAUUAUGAUGUGAGAAGUGGUGGGAUUAUGCAUGGAUCUAAUGAUAAAAGUCAAAUUGUAUAUGGCUAUGAGACCACAUAUGAGUUAGGUGAAAGAAGUUAUGAGUUUUCACAUGAUUAUUAUAAAGAGGGUUAUGAGAUUGCACAAGGUUAUGAUACUAAAUGUGGUUGUGAAACCACAAAGGAUUAUUGUGAAAGUUAUGAGACUAUUCAAGAACAUGAGAUUUCGAAAGUACAUGAGAUUUUUCAAUAUUAUGAGGUUAUACAAUGCUUUGAAACAACAAAAGAUUAUGAUGUUUCACAAAGAUGCAUUCAAGAAGAUAUGAAGGAUGUUAUACAAGAUUAUGUGACAAAUGAAGAUUAUAGGACAAAAGAUAAGGAUGCUAAGUCAUUGACUAUGAUUGAGUUAAUUGUAAGCACUUCACUUUUGGACCAAGGUCAAAGUUACAUAAGUAAUGCACAUAUAAUGGAAACACAAAUGGAUUUUGACAAAGAUAAGAUUCAUCAUUAAGUAUGGAAUUCAAGGGUUAGAAAUUUAAAAAUCUUCAAAUAUAAAGAUAUGGAAAAUGGAUUUAAAGAUUACAUGGACAUCUUAAAUGGGACUUCGAAUCAAAAAAAUAAGAAAAAAGAUACAAGCAAGAUGUAUAUGGCUAUGUGGAAGAGGUUUCAAUUCAAUCUUUUCAUUUCAAAUUUUGUAAUUCGCCAAUGGUUUGGUCAUGUGCAAAGGAGGAUAUUUACAAACUACUUGCACAUAAAGAGUAAAUAGAAACAUUGGCAUUGAACUAUAUAUAUAUAUAUAUAUAUAUAUAUAUAUAUUGGAGAAGUAUCAUUGUAAAGCAAGACUAUGGAGGUAUAAAAAAGGAGGUACAUUUACAAGAUAUAAAUGCCUUUGAUUUAAGUUUUAUUUAAAAUAAAUAAAUAAAUAAAUAAAAAUGAUUGAGAAAGAAUUAUGUGAGUUAGGAAUAUUGGAAGAUGAUGAAAGAUUUUUGAUAUUUAUCAAGAAAAUGGAUUGGAAGAUUCUUGGAGAAAAUUACAUAUAUUGGAUUAAAAGAUGAUGACAAUGGAAGCAAGUGAAGAUAUUCAAAUAAAAGCAAACAUAAAUAAAUAUAGAAGACUUUGUCAAAGACAUAAAUCUUUUAAGACAACAAGAUGAUUUUGAUUUGAAUAGGGAUUAUAAAGAAGAAGAAUUGAAUAAGGACAUUGAAAAUAUUGUAUCAAUCAAACAAAGUUGGAUUAUUUGGUGCAUACCGGAGGAUGCACAAGUUCAGAGGAGGUAGAUGUGAUAUUAUAAUACGACUAUAUGGUGAAAGAUGAUAAUAUGGAUCUUAUUAUAGAAGAAUUAAGUUAAAAGAAAAGAUAGAAAAAUAUGGAUAAAAGAUAGGAAGGUAAUAAAACUUUUAGUAGUAAUGCUACUCUUUCAAAAAAAAUAGCUUCUACUUACUUUGUAGGGCCAAAAAUAAGGCAAAAUAAGAUAGAUUGGAAUAAUAAAUGACAUAAACAUCUUUAGGAAGAAUUUAAGAGUAAAUUCUAAUAAAAAUUACUUUAAAAAAACUAGAUAUUGAUACCCGGAGAGGGCUGGUUAUGAACUAGGGUCGAAAUCAGACCCUGAGGCACAAAACCAAGUCUCAACGACGAUUCUAGGAUUUUUUGGCAAAUUGGAGAGUGGUAUUUGAUAGAAGAUUAAAUAGGGUUUCUAUGGUCAUUCAUUUUGGAUGAUUUGGAGUUGUUAUGACUUUGUAAGAGCUUUGCAAAGUCAAGGUUUGUUUUGGAUGACUUGGGUUUUAUGAAAUAAAACAGGGUUUACGUUUUGGGUGAUUUCAAGAGUUUUGUAAUAGAUCUAUGGGUGAAAUUUUGUGUAUUUAUGGUUAUAGUUGUUUUUAAUAUUUAUUAUGAAUUUGAGCUCGAUCUCACGGUUGAAUUGAGGAAUAUUGAGGUUUAAGUAGGUCAAGGUCUCAAAAAGUAGAAUUUUAGGUCUAGUGGAGGUUUUUGAGAUUUCUUGCAAUCUACCAGUUGGAUUGGAGUGAAACUUAGGUGAGAGGAUAUUAGACUUGAUUUUCUAUGUGUAUAAGAAUUUUGAGAUCAAUCGAAUGGUGUAAAUGAGAGAUAUUGGCUCUAGAAGAUUGGCAUCAAGAUUGGAGAAGGAGGCCAGUCAAUAUCCAAGCACAUUUUUGAAGUUAUCGUCAAUUUGGUAACUCCGAUCCUUUUCAAUUUUUUUUUGCUUGUUUUGAACUUAUUGUUUUAGAAGUUUGCAAAAUUUGAGUUAAGAUCACCAGUUUAUUCAUUAGUUAUUGAGGUUUAAAUCUGUUGUAGGAAUUACUAGGAUUUGGUUUAGUAUUUGGUUAGGGUUUGGUUUAGGAUUUAGGAUUUGGUUAGAAUUUGGUUUAGGAUUUAGGAUUUGGAUUACGGUUUGGUUAGGGUUUGAUUUAGGAUUUAGGAUUUGAUUUAGGAUUUGAUUGGGAUUUGGUUUAGGAUUUGAUUAGGAUUUUAUUUAAGGUUUAGGAUUUUGUAAGGAUUUGGUUUAGAAUUUAUGAUUUGAUUUAGGAUUUGGUUAGGGCUUUAUUUAGAGUUUAGAAUUUGAUUUAGGAUUAGGAUUUGGUUUAGGAUUUGGUUGGAAUUUGGUUUAAGGUUUAUUUAGGAUUUGAUUUAGAGUUUACGAUUUAGUUGGGAUUUGAUUUAAGGUUUGUUUAGGAUUUAAUUUAGGAUUUAGGAUUUUAUUAAGAUUUAAGAUUUAAUUAGUUUUGGCCUAAAGUUUGAAUAAAGUUCAAUAGGAUUUUAACUACAAUUAAAUUAAGAUUGAAUUGAGAUGUAUUUGAGUAAUAUUUGUGAUCCUUCGAAUAUUUCUUUGAGAAUUCUUAUUGUUUGUUUGAAAUUUCUUUGAGGUUUUUUUUAAAUUUGAUUCAGCUUGUUUAACAUUAUUAUGGUCUAAUUAGAGCAUUGUUAGUAUUCUAUUAGAAUUAGGAUUUUGUUAUUGUAAUUUCCAUUCUUCCUUC